ensembl:lncRNA
AUGUUCCAUGAAGCCCCUGGCUCCCUGUCUGCGUAUUCCUCGGGCUGCCAAUCAGUCUUUCUUAAUAAGCCUCUCUUAUCUGCGCCUCUUCUUCGCCAUUGCUCAGCUUGUCCUGUAUCUCUGUCCGCUGUCAUGUUAUCUCCCUGUCUAUCUUGUUCCUAUCUCUGCUCUGUGCCUGGCUCCAUCUCUUCCCACCUCCAUCCCAUCCUCCCUCCUUGCUCUGGGUUUCUCCUUGACAUCUGUCUGGCACACCCUAGUCCUAUGGACCCCCGCCCCAGCCCAUCACUAUCACCCCCUCCCCACAGCCCCCUGGGACUUUCCUGCCCGAGCCUGGCUCCCUGUGCCCGUCUUCCUGUGCCCCCUCUUUCCCACAACAGCUCUGGCCUGAGCCCUGUCCUGGCACUCCCACCCCACCCCGAGCAGGCGGCAUGGAGUGGAGCAAUGCAGGCAGAUGAGGGGGAGUGCGGUCUCCCGAGGCAUCAGUUCUUUACUGACUCAAGGCUGCGCCAGGUGCUGUGGGAGAUUCCAGAGAAGCCCCAAACCCUUCCCAUUCCUCAAGAAGUUCAGUCUGGGGAGACGAAGCCAUCAGAAUGAAACAAUUAUGCCCAGUGCUGGCCAUAAUAGAAGUGGACUCAGGAAACAGAAGAUCAGGUAUCUGGAGGACACACGUUUAUUGGGAGUUUACUGGGUGGCAGAUUCUUUCAUGUGCGUGAUGUCAUUCAAUCCUCACCAGUCUGGGAGGAAGGGAUUGUCUGCGUGUUUGAGGGGUCUGGGGGGGGAAACAGGCCCAGAGUCACUGAGAGGCUUGUCUGAACUCAAGCUGCUGGUAAGUGACACAGCCAGUGCUUAGCGCCUUAGGGUCAAAUUGUUUUUUUCCUGGCGUCCUGUAGGAGCUGCCGUGUUUAGGGUAGGCUCUGAGGCAGGAUAGGGUGGGCAGAGGGGAGGAGGGAGGACCUCAGGUGGGGGCAGCUGGAGCGAGUUUAGAAAUAAGGACAUUUCAGUCAGGUGCGGUGGCUCAUGCCUGUAAUCCCAGCACUUUGGGAGGCGGAGGCGGCAGAUCAUGAGGUCAGGAGAUCGGGACCAUCUUGGCCAACAUGGUGAAACCCUGUCUCUACUAAAGAUACAAAAAUUAGUUGGGUGUGAUAGUGUGUGCCUGUAAUCCCAGCUACUUGGGAGGCUGAGGCGGAAGAAUCGCUUGAGCCUGGGAGGCGGAGGUUGCAGUGAGCCGAGAUCGCACCACUGCACUCCAGCCUGGCAACAUAGAGAGACUCUGCCUCAAAAAAAAAGGACAUUUCAGGAAACAACAGAUGCUGGUCAGGCUAUGGAGAAAUAGGAACGCUUUUAUGCUGUUGGUGGGAGUGCAAAUUAGUUCAACCGUUGUGGAAGACAGUGUGGCGAUUCCUCAAGAAUCUAGAACUAGAAAUACCAUUUGACCCAGCAAUCCCAUUACUGGGUAUAUACCCAAAGGAAUAUAAAUCAUUCUACUAUAAAGACACAUGCACACGUGUUUAUUGCAGCACUGUUUACAAUAGCAAAGACUUGGAACCAACCCAAAUGCCUAUCAAUGAUAGACUGGAUAAAGAAAAUGUGGCAC